AUUGAACGCUGGCGGCAGGCUUAACACAUGCAAGUCGAGCGAGAGGCGGACGGGUGAGUAAUGUCUGGAAAACUGCCUGAUGGAGGGGGCUCACUCCUGGAAACGGUAGCUACUACCGCAUACCAUCAGAUGUGCCCAGAUGGGACUAGCUAGUAGGGGGGGUAAUGGCUCACCUCGGCGCCUAUCCCUAGCUGGUCUGAGAGCAUGACCAGCCACACUGGAACUGAGACACGGUCCAGACUCCUACGGGAGGCAGCAGUGGGGAAUAUUGCACAAUGGGCGCAAGCCUGAUGCAGCCAUGCCGCGUGUGUGAAGAAGGCCUUCGGGUUGUAAAGCACUUUCAGCGAGGAGGCGUUACUCGAAGAAGAAGCACCGGCUAACUCCGUGCCAGCAGCCGCGGUAAUAC
rnacentral:rRNA from 1 species